rnacentral:lncRNA from 1 species
UUAAUAACUGCUUUGAUAACUGCACUUCUUAAUAACCACGACGCGUUAUGUUUGCUAAUACCUUGGGCGACUUGAAGGUUUGGGCGAGAAUAGAGUAACAGCUCUGGGCGACUGUAUGACACUCCAUUCGCUCAGAUUCUGGGCGACUUGCAAACUUGGGCGAUGGCGUUACCGCGUUCUUGGGCCUUCUUAUUUGGGCCUUCAUCUUGAUUUGUUCGAUUGGGCUUCGUUUUUUGGGCUAUCUGACUUGGGGAUCCUCCAAUUGGGCUUCACUCCUUGGGCUGUUCGAUUUGGG